GGCUCUGUAGUGAAGUUCAUGGUGAGUUGCAAGCUCAUUGAUGCAUACUAGUUGUGUGCCGGAGUCU
rnacentral:tRNA from 1 species